rnacentral:rRNA from 1 species
UACGGGAGGCAGCAGGGGGAAUAUUGCACAAUGGGCGCAAGCCUGAUGCAGCCAUGCCGCGUGUAUGAAGAAGGCCUUCGGGUUGUAAAGUACUUUCAGUCGUGAGGAAGGUGUUAAGGUUAAUAACCUUAGCAAUUGACGUUAGCGACAGAAGAAGCACCGGCUAACUCCGUGCCAGCAGCCGCGGUAAUACGGAGGGUGCGAGCGUUAAUCGGAAUUACUGGGCGUAAAGGGCACGCAGGCGGUUAAUUAAGUUGGAUGUGAAAUCCCCGGGCUUAACCUGGGAAUGGCAUUCAAGCUGGUUAGCUAGAGUCUUGUAGAGGGGGUAGAAUUCCAUGUGUAGCGGUGAAAUGCGUAGAGAUGUGGAGGAAUACCGGUGGCGAAGGCGGCCCCUGGACAAAGACUGACGCUCAUGUGCGAAAGCGUGGGGAGCAAACAGGGAUUAGAUACC